UACGUAGGGUGCGAGCGUUAAUCGGAAUUACUGGGCGUAAAGCGUGCGCAGGCGGUUCGUUAAGUCUGAUGUGAAAGCCCUGGGCUCAACCUGGGAAUGGCAUUGGAAACUGGCGACCUAGAGUGCGGUAGAGGGUAGUGGAAUUCCCGGUGUAGCAGUGAAAUGCGUAGAGAUCGGGAGGAACAUCUGUGGCGAAGGCGACUGCCUGGACCAGCACUGACACUGAGGCACGAAAGCGUGGGGAGCAAACAGG
rnacentral:rRNA from 1 species